GACGAACGCUGGCGGCGUGCCUAAUACAUGCAAGUAGGACGAAGUUGAGAACGGGUGAGUAACGCGUAGGUAACUACCUAUUAGAGGGGGAUAACUAUCGGAAACGAUAGCUAAUACCGCAUAAUAGUAGAUGGACCUGUGUUGUAUUAGCUAGUCGGUAGGGUAAUGUCCUACCAAGUCAACGAUACAUAGCCGAGCUGAGAGGUUGAUCGGCCACACUGGGACUUAGACACGGCCCAGACGCCGACGGGAGGCAGCAGUAGGGAAUCUUCGGCAAUGGGGGGAACGCUGACCGAGCAACGCCGCGUGAGUGAAGAAGGUUUUCGGGUCGUAAAGCUCUGUUGUUAAGGAAGCGGUACUUAACCAGAAAGGGACGGCUAACUACGUGCCAGCAGCCGCGGUAAUAC
rnacentral:rRNA from 1 species